rnacentral:lncRNA from 1 species
ACCUCUAGGGAGGGGAGAAGGCUGAAGGUCAAGUUGAUCACCAGUGGACAGUGAUUUAACAAAUCAUGCCUACAUGAUAGCCUCCAUAAAAACCCAAAAGGACAGACUUCAGAGAGCUUCUGGUUGGCCGGAAAAGAGGCAUAAACUCGGAGAACCCAAGACCCCGGCCUGGCGUGCAGCCCCAGCAGCCAGACCAGCCUUGGGCAACAGCGUGCGACGUUCAGCUGUCUGCGUCUCCAGUGCUCCCAUUCCAUCGCAUCUGAAUGAGGGAUUUGGGAGAGACACAGCCUCUCGUCGGAACGCUCCUGCACACCCUUCUCGCAACCCCCACCACCUGCCCCCCACUCCCGACCACAGCAGCCACCGUCCUGGUGUCUCCCAGGCUGAGCGUGCAUUCGAGCUUCUCCUGCAUCAUGACCAGGAUGCUCCGGGACACCUUGUCCACGUCUGUGUCCACCAGUCCUGCUCAGAAUCUCCCCAGGGGCUUUUCCACGAUGCCCAUCCAGGCGUCACCCUCACUCUAGGCCAGGAGGAGAAGGCAUGCCCUGAGGAUUCAGCCUCUUCUUCUUCAUCCCUCCCAGCACCCAGUGUGUUGGGUGCACACACAGGUGUCGGGCCCCAGGCUGGAGGCCACGUGCCAGGCUGGCAGGAUUUGUCCACUGUGAAGCUCGACACCCCCGCAGGCCCUGUGCUGCCCGCCCGGAUCCCCCUGCCUCAGGAUGCCCUCCACACCCUCCGAAUUCCCAGCCGCUGCUCUGGGGCCUGCACAGAGGGCUUGGGCCCAGCACCUGGAAGCUCCAAAGAGGCAAACGGGUUCAUGUCCAGGUUUUGUCAGAUCGCUUCCGAGGCUGCCCUCUUCGCCGUGGCUGCUGAGUGCAGAGCUGGGCAUCUGAGUGGACAGAGUGGUGCUCCGCUUCCUUGCAUCUCCUGGGCCAUGCGUGGUGACCUGUGCCCACUGCAUCGCUCCUGUGUGCCCUGUGCAUGUGACCGUGUCUUUCCCGUGUAUUCAAUGCUGCUUCAUGUCUUCCAGUUCUGCUUUGUGGUUUGUGAGUGACCAGUGCAUCCAGUUCCUGCUGCAGCAGCUGCAAUGUGCACUGUCCUGCAGGAAGCCCUCGGGGUAGGGCCUGGGGGCUGUGGGAAGCUCAGCAACAAGUGCUCCAUUAUGCCAGGAGGUCUCCUCAGGAUGAGCCCCAUGUGCAGCCUACAUUGUGCUACUCUCUCAGAUCCAGUGUGCAGCUCUCCUCCUGGGACUUCCCUCCACAACUUUUCUCAGUUGAAUCCACUAUGUGUUGGAUCCCAGGUCUUCCUCUUUAUUUUCUCCUUCAUUUUGCUGGAGCACAUCCUCAAGUAACUUUCUAAAAUAAGUUUAAACAGGUAAAUGUUUUGGAAGGUUGAAUGCCACAAAACAUCUUUAUUCUACCUUCAUACUUGACUCAUAAUAUUGCUGGAACCAAUUUCUAAGUUCAAAAUCAUUUUUCAGGAGCUAGGAAUUGAACUCAACCUAUCUAAUUCCAAAAUUAGGGUUUUUUUAUUUGACACGGUCUCUGGCUAGGAAGCAAGCACAACAGCUCCACCGUUAUUGGCAAGUUACUGAAAGCAACCCUUUGACAGCAGCCGCAGAUCCACAGCCAUACAGAAUUUUCCUUUUUAAACAAGUUGCUCACCAUUAGGAUGCUCUGAUUUCUCCAUUUGUAAAAUGAAGAUUCUCUGUCAACUUUUGGUUUUAGUUUUUGGUCUGGCAUAUUUGGUAAGCUACAAGUGAUCUUUGGCUGAAAAUCAGUCAUGUGUGGCGGGUCGUUUCACCAGGUGCCCUGCACCCAGAGAUCUAGGGCCCUCAAUCGUCCUUCAGUUGCUGUCAGUGCAAGGGCAAUCUCACCCAACCCUCCACAGGGAAAGGCAACUGCCACACGCCUCUGAGAGCAGGGAUGCAGCAAGCGCUGACUCUGGGCUUACAGGGGUCCCGCCCAUAACAGCGCACCACAGACCAGGGCUCACCCCACAAACAUUUUUCUCGCUCAGUCCUGGAGGCAGAAAGGCCAACAUCAGGGUGCCAGCAUGGCUGGCGUCUGGUGAGGCUCUCUUCCUGGUUUGCAGACCGUUGCCAUGGUAUUGUGAUAAUAACAAAAUAUAGAUUUGGUCUUCGUCCCAGAUUCCCAACACCAGAGCUUCUAAGAGCCCUGGAACCUCUUGAGUGAUGAGCGUGUCUUUUGUGUGCUGACGAGAGGACAGAGCUGGUGACCCUUGGGCAGCUUCAGGAAGGGACUGCUCCCCAGAAAGACCAAGGCAGGACUUAUAGGUGAGGACUUUCAGAUCCACCCCAACCUCCAGGAAGCGGGAGGGGAGAGAGGACAGGAGCUGAAGAUGGAACUGAUUACCGAUGGCCAAGAAUUUAAUCCAUUAUUCUGUUAAUGAAAAACCAAACUCUGUAAAAUAUUUUAAAGAGGUUUAUUGGGACCCCUAAUACGGUGACCACAGCUUAGAGAAAAAACAAACCCAAGAAGCCUAGAGUGAGUGUUCCUGAGGUGGCUGGAUUACAGUCUGGCUUCAUGCACUUUAGGGGACAGGCGUUACAGGUGGACGAGAUAUAUAUUGGCUCAGCUCGAACACGCGGGAUAUCUGGAAGCAGGCCUUAUCAGUUAUAGGUGGAUUCAGAGAGUCUUCAGUUUGCGGCUGGUUAAAGGAGCAAAGCUUUAUCUAAAACCUAGAGUCAGCGAUGAGGACGUCUGCACCCGAAACAUGGGGCAGGGGUGACUAACAGGGUGCAUGACUUGACUUAACCCUCGUCUGACAUGGUCUUGGGUCCUGUUUGUAACUGGGGCUCUUAUUGCCACGGUCAGUUCUGUCAGCCUUCUGAUCUCUGUUUUGACAUUAAUGCCUAAAUUCCAAAGGG